CUGCUCGCUUCAGCAACACAUAUACUAAAAUUGGAAUGAUACAGAGAAGAUCAGCACACCCCUGCACAAGGAUAAUAUGCAAAUGUUGCUAUUUUUA
rnacentral:snRNA from 1 species